rnacentral:rRNA from 1 species
UACGAGGGGGGGCGAGCGUUGUUCGGAAUUAUUGGGCGUAAAGGGUGCGUAGGCGGUUCCGCAAGUCCUGUGUGAAAUCUUCGGGCUCAACUCGAAGUCUGCACGGGAAACUGCGGGGCUUGAGUGUGGGAGAGGUGAGUGGAAUUCCGAGUGUAGAAGUGAAAUUCGUAGAUAUUCGGAGGAACACCAGUGGCGAAGGCGGCUCACUGGUCCAUUACUGACGCUGAGGUGCGAAAAGCGUGGGGAGCAAACGGG